rnacentral:lncRNA from 7 species
GUGACGUAUUUUCUAUCUAGUUAAUUUGGAUUUUAUUCUUCCAUAUUGGACACUCACCAUAAUAUGGAUUAAGUCAGCCCUUUAGACUUCAUUGAACAACCGUGCAUAUUAUCCAUGUCAUUCAAAAUAUAUUGUGCAUAAGGGCUCAAGGGAAAUUUAGUCCAUAUUAUGAUGUUUCUCUAUUUUAGCAACAUGCUUGUCUUCCACAAAUAAAAGGGUUGCUAAAUAAGAAACUAGUGCUUGUGCUACUAAUUCCAUCUCUUGUGUUGAGUUUAUCCAUAGAAAAUCUAUGUUAAGAGAUGGUGCUUGUUUUAAAUUGGAUAAAUCACAAGCUUAAAGGAUAUUAUUCAACUAAAGUAAGAUGAAGUUGAUAAGAGGCCAAGGUAUGAAAACUUCCUCUCCUUCAGUUGUUUUAGUAUUCUAUCCUUAGUGGGAUGUACCAUAGUAUAGGUUAAUUUCCUUGCAAUAUAAAAUGUUCAAUAGUGCAUAUAACUUUGAGAUCAACUAUAUGUGUGCACUAAUUUAAAGGAAUUUAAUCUAUCCUUUUGGGUUUCAAGAAUGAUGAUUCAUUCUCCAUCCACAUAUAAGGAUUAUCAUUUGUGAAACCCUCCCUUGUGUUUCUAAUGCUCUCUUUUCUAAGUGUUUAAAUAAGGUCCUUCCAAGUGAUUUCAAGAUGGAUUCAAAAUCCACGGAUAUAAGAGUCUUGGUUGUUUCAAUCAUUGAGUUUCAAUGGGUCUCAUAUCAAGUUUGAUUAAACCAAGACAAGAUCAAUGAAGUUCAAGAUCGCCUGGUUGGAUGAAAUCAUAAAGAGAAAAGAAAUCACAGUGAUUCAAGAAGGGAGUUACACUUUUUGUCAACCUAAUAAUGAAGAUGUAGUGACAUAUUUAUAUGAUAUCCUUCAUUAUGAGGUUUAAGGUUCAUAUUAGCAUGCUUUACCCUCCAAGAUUUCAAUUGAUAUACUUUUAGUUCUUAAACUUUUAAUUGGUUUAAUUUUCAUCAUCUAUGUAAAGCAUGUUAUGUUAAACCAAGAUAUAGUGCAAACAUCUCCUUUAACCUCGUAUUGUUAAUGUGCAUAAGUGUACUUUGUGUACUCUCGCAUGCACAAAUUAAGGGAGAGUUUAGCCUAUAUCUUGUGAGACUAAUGAAUUCUUUCAAGUUCAUGUUGUGUAGUCUCACACCUUGGAGAACAUCAAAUGAGGAUGAAUGGUUCCAUAGAAAUGAAGAAUUUCUCUUAAUUGUUUGAAGAGGAUAAGUUUCUCUUUGAAAUGUCAAGCCCAUCGAAAGCUAAGAUGGAAAUUCAUGAUUAUAAUGGAGACCAUGUGGCGUAGAACAAAGGUGUGUCACUCCAUGAACUAUUGUAUUACAAUUGUGUAUCUAGGCUCUUACAUGCUAGUGUGUGCAUGUAUAUGCAAUAUCUUAAGUCACAUCAUAAGGUUGCACUUGUGGUGACGAUUAAAGAAUCUCUUGUGGUGAUGUCAUAAGUUAGUUUUAAGUCAUCUUAGUGAGGUAUGAGUCAAACAUACUAACUUCUCAAGAAUCUUGGCUUAAAAUAUUGCAUAUCAUGUCUAUUAGUAUACCUUUUGAUUAUGAGUAAUACCUUCAAUUGGUGCAAUUUCAUAUUUUCAUACUUUAUUUGUACCAAGGUUCAAAUUGUAGAACUUAAUCCCCUGGCCUCACAAGUCCAAGUGCAAAAGCUAAACAAGUAUUCAUCACUUGUAUGCACACAUAUAGGGGGAGAAUGGUCUAUAAUUUGAAUCUUUGAGACUAACUUCACUUUCAAGUCUAUUAUGUGUGUAGUCUCAAAUUAGAAAGGAACCUUCGGGCAAAGACAAUCGCUUCCACUAUAAAUUUGAUGGGUAUCAAAGAUUCUUUGCUCCAAUAAAUGUAUCUUCUAUACAUUUCAUAAGAGAAUGAGUUUCUCUUGUAUAUGCUACACCAACUUUAUCUAAAAUUGGUAAAUAUGUAUCACAUCUUUUUGGAUUACAAAUAUCUGAAGUAGCAUAGCUUAUAGAUUCUCCUGUCUAGAACUUAAUUGAUUAAAUAGUGCACAUGUUUCUUAUGUUGCAUGAUUAUGUUCAAUUGAUACUCCUUUUAUGCCAAUGGUACUUUAAGUUGCAAAUAAGUACUCUCAAUAGAUAUCAAUUGAAUUCAUAUAUAUGUGUGCACUAAACUUGAGGAGAACAUUGUGUAAUAUGCUAUUAGUGAUCUGCUUAUCUAUCAAAUUGUAUCAAUUGGUGUUUUUCAAUUGAUAUUUCGUACAUGGUCACUAGUUGUAUAAUCCAUACUUGUGCAAUUUUCAUGUUGCCUCUUGUUGUGAUAAGAAAAUGCUAAGUGACAUCUAGACUCCAGGUAUCAAGAUUUAUCUUUCAGUUAGUAUGACAAUCUUCAUUUGAUAUCUUGGACCUAUGUCACAAUUAUGCCAACAAGAGCUUGCAAAUGAAUUCUAAAUCCAACACAAGUCUGGAAACCCCUUGAAAAGGUAAAACGCAAAGGUACAUCACUUAUGACACUUAUCCAUUAUCUUUGUGCCAUCUAAGGAUCCCUUUCAUGAUAGUGUGUUCACAUCUCGCUUAAUCAUAAUUUAUAUCCUUUAUAUUCUUUGUAUCUUUUUUGGAGAUUUAUGACAAAGGGGGAGAAAUUGUGCAUUAAAGCUUACCUUUAGUCUUAUGUAACUAAGUGUUAGAAGACUUUUAAAAAGGGGAGAAAUAAUUAACAAAAAAGGGAAGUCAUAAGAAAAACAUAAGAUGAAGAAAGUUGAUAAGUGCAUUCCAUGUCAUGAGCAUCACGUUUAUUUUAUGACACACUGCAUCCUAUGAAUAGUAUGAUAUAAGUUGUCUCUACUUUGACCUAAAUAUGUGCUUUUGUCAUUUGAGUACAAAAGUGUUAUUUUUUAAAAUGCACAUAUUUAGGGGGAGGAAACUAUAUCAUAGGAUUCAAAAUCUUAUUUAUCAAAUCUUAUGUAAUCUUUAAAUGUGUUGUCAUCAAUCACCAAAAAGGGGGAGAUUGAAAGUGCAUUCAUCCCUUUUGUGAGUUUUGGUGAUUUGAAUAACAACACAUUUAAAGGUCUAACGAGUUUGCUAAGUGUUGAACAGGAAAUUCAGUAUGAUGAACAUACUUGAAUAGUGUAUAAUGAUCAGUGAACAAAGGUUCAACACGAGGUUAUAUAACCAAUGAGACAAUGCAAAUGGAUAUAAUAUGAUCUCUAUAUUGGUUUGAAUAUAUGGACAAGACCUGAGAAAUCACUACAUACAUAUGACCAGAAUAGAGGACAAAGUGAUUUAGAGGAUUGGUCAAGCCAAAGAGAAUAAGAUAUGAGGAAUCGUGAAUUGGCUUGACCAUAUUACUGUCAGUCCAUAUAUGCUUCUAUGAGAAUCAAACUAGAGCUUGAUUGAUCUUGACAAUUAUAUCUAGAAGACAUUCAAGCAAGGUUCACAAUAUUGAAGAAAUGAUUCUCUCAAUGGAUGCUCAAUUUGAUGUGACUCAAGAAUGGCUUGAUAGGGUGAAGAUAGCAAGGAAAGGGCUUCGAGGAACUAAGCGAAGGUGAAGGUCAAGCGACGGCUUGUAGACCGAGGUACCAUGGCUAAGGUGAAGAAGAGAGUACUUGCACUAAGUCGAUGAACUAAUCAGCUAUGAAGAGUUAUAACAUGUUGAUGCAUCAGUAAGGUGACUUGAAGCCAUGAUUUGAACUCAUAUAAGGUGAUAUGGUACAAGUCACUGGGUUUGAUUUGAGUUUGCUUCAAAAGGUGAGACAAAGAUGUUUGUGAUCCUUAUGAAGCAAUUCCAUGGAGAAAUCACACAUGAGACACCAAUGACUCAAGGAGUUUACUUCAUUAUAUUUUAUUUAACUUGAGUAUAGAAAUCGUCGUACUAUAAAGGGGGAUCCAAAAAGAAGGUUGGUGUUUGUCAAAGCUCAAACCUCUCUAUUCAAAAGCUAUUUUUGAAAAGCAAAAAUCUCUUUAACGUUCUAUGGUUGACCGUGGUUAGGGUUGAGAAACCUAGAGUGUUCUUGCUGAAAAGCAGCUGAACUUCUUCAACUGCAGCUGAGCUUUCCAGCUGAACUUGACUUCAGCUGAGUUGAGCUUCUUCAGCUGCAGCUGAGCUUUUCAGCUGAGCUGAACUUUAGCUGAGUUGAGCUUUCUCAACUUCAGCUGAACUCAACUUCAGCUGUGAACCUCUUUGACCAUACACCAGCUGAACUUGCCUCCGGGCAGUUGAGCUGGGGUUUUCUCUCCUAAACUCACUGGUCAAGACCGGUUGAACUGGUCCUGAGGGGCAGUUCAGCUGGUCUCUGACCCCUCUGACCUCUGAUCUGCAGUCUGCCAGUCAGACUGGCAAACAGGUCGCCAGGAGCUGUCAGGGGCGGUUCAACCGCCCCCCUGGGCGGUUCAACCGGUUUUGGUCAACUUUGACCAGUCUGUGGUCAGUCUGCGCGUCAGUCUGCCGGUCAGACUGGCAGACAGGCUGCCAGGCCUGCCAGGGGCGGUUCAUCCGCCCUAGGGGGCGGUUCAACCGGUCUCAGGCAGAAAAAUCUGCCCAACGGCUAGUUUUGAGCUCCACCUAUAUAUACUACCUCCUACCUCUCUCCCCACAGCAGUGAGCACGAUUUGAACUCCAUUUCUAACCCAAGAAACACCUCCCUCUCCCUCACACACAUCUCUUGCCUCUCCCAUUUCAAAUCUUUGGAGAGGAAUCUUUGAGUGAGCUUGAGAGCUGCAGUUUUUGUGCUCCAUCUCUAAAUCUCUCUUGCUCUUCUUCAUUCGAGCUUUGGUACUACAUCGAGUUCUUUGUGGAUUCAUUACUCUUGGAGCUUCUAGCUCCUAGACGACUAGGUGUCUCUUGUGAGUCUCCAAAUCUUGUGGAAGACCACAAGAAAGUUUGUAUUACCCGCUCGUUU